UCUAAAACUAGGUACAUAACUGUAUUACUCUCCACGGCCUCAUUGAUUUCAUGUGGGCUAAAUGGCACUGCUGUUAGCAUCAGGGGCACCUGAAGUGAGCUCAGGAGUUCCAGCUUGUCAGAGGGGGAGGGCUUUGU